GAAGUCACUAUCAUGGCCCUUACGGCCAGGGCUACACACGUGCUACAAUGGCGCGUACAGAGGGCUGCAAGCUAGCGAUAGUGAGCGAAUCCCAAAAAGCGCGUCGUAGUCCGGAUCGGAGUCUGCAACUCGACUCCGUGAAGUCGGAAUCGCUAGUAAUCGCAAAUCAGAAUGUUGCGGUGAAUACGUUCCCGGGCCUUGUACACACCGCCCGUCACACCAUGGGAGUGGGUUGCACCAGAAGUAGAUAGCUUAACCUUCGGGAGGGCGUUUACCACGGUGUGAUUCAUGACUGGGGUGAAGUCGUAACAAGGUAACCCUAGGGGAACCUGCGGUUGGAUCACCNC
rnacentral:rRNA from 2 species